rnacentral:rRNA from 1 species
AUUGAACGCUGGCGGCAGGCUUAACACAUGCAAGUCGAGCGGAGAUGAGGUGCUUGCACCUUAUCUUAGCGGCGGACGGGUGAGUAAUGCUUAGGAAUCUGCCUAUUAGUGGGGGACAACAUUCCGAAAGGAAUGCUAAUACCGCAUACGUCCUACGGGAGAAAGCAGGGGAUCUUCGGACCUUGCGCUAAUAGAUGAGCCUAAGUCGGAUUAGCUAGUUGGUGGGGUAAAGGCCUACCAAGGCGACGAUCUGUAGCGGGUCUGAGAGGAUGAGCCGCCACACUGGGACUGAGACACGGCCCAGACUCCGACGGGAUGCAGCAGUGGGGAAUAUUGGACAAUGGGGGGAACCCUGAUCCAGCCAUGCCGCGUGUGUGAAGAAGGCCUUAUGGUUGUAAAGCACUUUAAGCGAGGAGGAGGCUACUGAGACUAAUACUCUUGGAUAGUGGACGUUACUCGCAGAAUAAGCACCGGCUAACUCUGUGCCAGCAGCCGCAGUAACAC